GGGGGUGACCGGUUUCUAUCGGCGCCUGUGGAAUCAUCUUUGCUUUUCGCACGAUGUCUGUAUCGGGCGUUAUCACCAAAACAGACAAAACCUUAAGUGCUAACUUGUUUAACACUCAGAGAAAAAACGUAUUUGCUGCUGUAAAAGGUGCACUUACUCCUUCUCUCGCUCUCGCUGCUUAAUCGCGCCAGAGCAUGUCACUUUCCUCCGGGACGACAGAGCAAUUGCUCGUGACAAACUCAUAUAGGUGCAUAGAAGGCCUAUUUGUUUUACUAAUUCUUCUCUCGUAGAUCUGUGGCUGAUAGGCACACUUAUCUCCGUACUUCGUCUAUCAACCAUGUGUAAUUUUUGUUUGAUUUUCCCUACACUUGGUAUCAAAUCAAACUAUAAAAGUAAACGAGAUGGUACACACGCUGAGACAUGGGUUCGAUUCCCAUCACCUCCACCA
rnacentral:tmRNA from 1 species